rnacentral:rRNA from 1 species
CCUACGGGAGGCAGCAGUGGGGAAUAUUGGGCAAUGGGCGAAAGCCUGACCCAGCGACGCCGCGUGAGGGACGAAGGCCUUCGGGUUGUAAACCUCUUUCAGCAGGGAAGAAGCGAAAGUGACGGUACCUGCAGAAGAAGCACCGGCUAACUACGUGCCAGCAGCCGCGGUAAUACGUAGGGUGCAAGCGUUGUCCGGAAUUAUUGGGCGUAAAGAGCUCGUAGGUGGUUUGCCACGUCGGAUGUGAAAACCUGAGGCUUAACCUCAGGCCUGCAUUCGAUACGGGCAGACUAGAGUGUGGUAGGGGAGACUGGAAUUCCUGGUGUAGCGGUGAAAUGCGCAGAUAUCAGGAGGAACACCGGUGGCGAAGGCGGGUCUCUGGGCCAUAACUGACACUGAGGAGCGAAAGCGUGGGGAGCAAACAGGAUUAGAUACCCUGGUAGUCCACGCCGUAAACGGUGGGCACUAGAUGUGGGGACCUUCCACGGUCUCUGCGUCGCNGCUACGCAUAGUGCCCGCCGUCGGGAGGUACGGCCGCGACGACGUAAACUUAAAUAGAUUAGACGGCGNGAGACGUGCCGACGGACGACGACGAGGGAGUAGG